rnacentral:rRNA from 1 species
UUUGGUGGCGAUAGCGAAGAGUCACACCGUUCCCAUGCCGAACACGGAAGUUAAGCUCUUCAGCGCCGAUGGUAGUCGGGGGUUUCCCCCUGUGAGAGUAGGACGCCGCCAAGC